GCCAUAGGGAGACAGCAGUCUGCUGCAAGAGGCAGCCGGGAACACACUUGAUUUUAUAAAGGUCACCCGGUGUUGUGAGAGCAAGCUGAAAGGGAGUUCGCUGUGUUAGUGCUGAUCAUAAUGCCAGGGCACAUCGUGACCCCUGAAAACAAACAGACUGUUGAAAUGCAAGAUACAGGACGAGAGCGAGAGAGAUACACAGAGAAGUGAAAAAUUCAGCGGGUAUGCCAAAGAGGAAGCACUGCAAGUGCUGACAGUGAUGAUGCAGACUGCAGUACAUGACCCUGCUGGGGUCAGAGGUCAUUCAAGAGGGGUCACUGCAGACUCUAUGCCCUGACACAGUGAUUGACAGAUGAGUAUGUCUCUGCAGCAUAGGUCAAGAUGCACAGUGUG
ensembl:lncRNA